rnacentral:rRNA from 1 species
UACUCGAGUGGCGAACGGGUGAGUAACACGUGGGUGAUCUGCCCUGCACUUCGGGAUAAGCCUGGUAAACUGGGUCUAAUACCGGAUAGGACCACAUUUUGGAUGGUGUGGUGGAAAGUUUUUCGGUGUUGGAUGAGCUCGCGGCCUAUCAGCUUGUUGGUGGGGUAAUGGCCUACCAAGGCGUCGACGGGUAGCCGGCCUGAGAGGGUGUACGGCCACAUUGGGACUGAUAUACGGCCCAG